rnacentral:misc_RNA from 1 species
AGUCGUUAGGGUACAACCAGACAGGACGCACUUACUCCGAGCUGCCGCCAUUCGCCUGCCUUGGCGUGUGUGUACCGUUAGUUCAGCUGUCCCGUGCAGAGAGGCAAAUAAGCGGGGAAGCCCCGACAUCGAACCGAAAUCGAAAUCGAAUCAUAGCCAAAGUCAAAGUCAGAGUAUCGCUCAGUAUCGAGGUGCAUAGAAACUUGCUGGUUAGUGCGUGAAGAAACUGCCAAAACAACAACCAAAAAAAAAGAAACGAAAAAACGAAAAUAAAUACUCCAAUUCCCUCUGUGGCAGCUCCCGCGCGUCCAAGUGUGUGUAAGUGUCGUCUGUGCGUGUGUGCGUGCGUUUUCCCAAAAAAACUUCAGAUCGAGUGUGUUCAUCAACAACAAAUAAAAUAAAAAUCCAAUUUAAAUAAAAGUUUUUCGUUAUAUUCACCACAUAAAGGCAAUAUGCAAGUAUUAAACAAAAAAACACUCAGAAAAUGUUAAACAAAAUUAAAUGAAUGCAAAUUAAAAAGCACGAGGAAAAGCCAAAAUAAAUAACAACAGCAACAAUGUGUUCAUAACUAUUAAAAACGGAAAAUUAAAACAAAAAAAGCAGUGGCUUAAAUUAACGCAUUAUGCUAAAUCGAAACCAAACUCAUCUGAAUCUCUACUCUCGCAUCCAUGUUUCUGCAUCCGCACCCGUAUCCGCAUUCGUAUUCGCAUCCGCACCUGUAUCUGUAGCCGAAUCAGUAUCGUUGCAUCUGCUGAGCGAAUGAGACGAAGCAGCAAACAUGCCAGCUAAAUUCCAAUUCAAAAACCCAGAAUCAAUACUUCAAUCAGUCUGGCAAGCAAGCAAUCAAGCAAUUCCAUCAUCAAUCUCGCAACUGCCAUCAACUCAUCAGCAAUAACAACUGCAACCAGCACUGCAACAACUGUCCCAACACAAAUGCGACUAACUAAAUGCAUCCAACUAAAGCAAAUAAACUUAAAUAAUUCCAAACCAUAAUCCUAAAAAAGAAAAUUCAAAACCAAAACCAAAUACCACUCGAAGGCGAACGAAGCGAGCGAGUUAAAUACAAUUUUCAUAUUAAUUAUGGAACAUUCAUCAACAAUUUCGUUGUGUUUGUUCCAUUGUAAAAGCAAAAAGGUCGCCGAUUGUUUGCAGCUGCAGCAACAACGACCACUGCAACAAUCAGCAACAACUCUCGCCGCAGCAGGAACAAAAUCAACCAGAAGACCAACAACAUCCGCAACACAGCAGCAACUUCUUAAACAGCAGCAACUCCAAGCUUCAUUUCGGCAAAAUUGCUGGCUAACAUCUUACAACUGAACGAAACAACGAUACUAAGCUGUACUACAAGAUAUAAGGAUCAACAACAAAAAUAAAAUCAACCAGAAAAACAACAACUGCUACCUAAGGUUUCUCAAAAUCCAACAAAAAACAAAAAAUAACAAACUCAAAUAGAAAAUGAAAACCAUAUAAGCGACCCAGAAAAAAGUGCAAAUUAUGUAAAUUAUUUCAAAAGGAAAAACGCAAAGGGAAAACCGAAGAGCAAACGAAAGAGAAUUAGUCAAAUAAAAGCGAACGGAAAAACAAUAUCUGUGACCAGGCGAAGACCGGAAAUUAAAUCUGCAACGCGGAACCAAAGUGGAAGAGGAAGCACAGCCACAACCACAACCGCAACCGCAGCAAAAUCCGAAGAAAGUCGACGGCAAACGCGUGCCAAAUAUUUGCUAGAAAAAUACCAGAAUAAAAUAAUAAUCAAAGGCGCUUCCUUGAAAAAAAAACAAAGCAAAAAUAGUAGAAUUGAGAAAUUCUAGUUGCUUUUGAGAUAGCCUAAGUGUCCCAUGACAGCUGCAUUGCGCUGAGAAGGUGUGGGCAGGAGUACGGACUGCUGGGAGACCAUCUCUCGUCCAUUGUUGAACUCUGACCCACACGACGGCGCAUUGUCUCCGGACCAUUGUGCUAAUCAUCGCUAGUUGGGAGCACUGGCCAACUAUUUAGCCAAGGUGACGAGGCGGGGACAGCCAACCACUUCAAGGCAGCUCAACCACACCAAGGAGCACUGUGAAAGGAGGCGGCGGAUCGGGAACGGGAACAGGAGGAACAGGAGGACCAGGAGCCGUAGUCGAAGCAGGACCAGAAGCAGCAGAAGGAGCAGCAGGGGCGGGGUGGUAGCCAUUCAACCCGAGAGCCACGCGAUACAAACAAGCCAAGGACAUGGACUCCCCGCUGCCAGCGUCGCUGUCGCUGUUUGUCCUGUUGAUCUUUCUGGCGAUAAUUAAAGAAAGCUGUCAAGGACCUCAUGAAAAGCGCCUGCUGAACCACCUGCUGUCCACCUACAACACGCUGGAGCGACCCGUGGCCAACGAAUCGGAGCCCCUGGAGGUGAAAUUUGGACUGACGCUGCAGCAGAUCAUCGACGUGGACGAGAAGAAUCAGCUUCUCAUAACGAAUCUUUGGCUUUCGUUGGAGUGGAACGACUACAAUCUGCGCUGGAAUGAAACGGAAUACGGCGGAGUCAAGGACCUCCGAAUCACGCCCAACAAGCUGUGGAAGCCCGACGUGCUCAUGUACAACAGCGCGGAUGAGGGAUUCGAUGGCACGUAUCACACCAACAUUGUGGUCAAACAUAACGGCAGUUGUCUGUACGUGCCCCCUGGUAUCUUCAAGAGCACAUGCAAGAUAGACAUCACGUGGUUCCCAUUUGAUGACCAACAUUGCGAAAUGAAAUUCGGUAGUUGGACUUACGAUGGAAAUCAGUUGGAUUUGGUUUUGAAUUCCGAAGAUGGAGGGGAUCUUUCCGAUUUCAUAACAAAUGGCGAGUGGUACUUGCUUGCCAUGCCGGGAAAGAAGAAUACGAUAGUCUACGCCUGCUGCCCAGAACCAUAUGUCGAUAUCACCUUUACUAUACAAAUACGUCGCCGUACAUUAUAUUAUUUUUUCAAUUUAAUCGUGCCAUGUGUGCUAAUCUCAUCGAUGGCCCUCCUGGGCUUCACAUUGCCGCCGGAUUCGGGCGAGAAACUGACGCUGGGCGUAACUAUACUACUAUCAUUAACAGUAUUUCUAAACCUUGUCGCCGAGUCCAUGCCGACAACGUCGGAUGCUGUUCCUCUUAUAGGCACCUACUUCAAUUGCAUCAUGUUCAUGGUCGCAUCGUCGGUGGUGCUGACAGUAGUGGUGCUCAACUACCACCAUCGCACAGCGGACAUUCACGAGAUGCCACCGUGGAUCAAGUCCGUUUUCCUACAAUGGCUGCCCUGGAUCUUGCGAAUGGGUCGACCUGGCCGCAAGAUCACACGCAAAACAAUACUACUAAGCAAUCGCAUGAAGGAGCUGGAGCUGAAGGAGCGCUCCUCCAAGUCCCUGUUGGCCAAUGUCCUCGACAUCGACGACGACUUUCGGCACACAAUAUCCGGCUCCCAGACCGCCAUCGGUUCAUCGGCCAGCUUCGGUCGGCCCACAACGGUGGAGGAGCACCACACGGCCAUCGGCUGCAAUCACAAAGAUCUUCACCUGAUUCUCAAAGAAUUGCAAUUUAUUACGGCGCGCAUGCGCAAAGCCGACGACGAAGCGGAAUUGAUCGGCGAUUGGAAGUUCGCGGCAAUGGUUGUGGAUAGAUUUUGUUUAAUUGUUUUCACGCUCUUCACGAUUAUUGCAACGGUUACCGUGCUGCUCUCGGCUCCGCACAUAAUCGUGCAAUAAGGACGCUCGAAUUAGGUCAUUAAGCUACGGAUACGUCGGAAGCAGACGACUAGUUAAGUUCUUUUUCAAAAACCAAAAACUAGCAAAGCUGCUUCGAAGCAAAGCAAACAAAAACAAACAAGAAAAGAAAACUACAAAAAAAUAAUAAAAAAUACAAAAUUGUUAAUUACAUUUUUAAGUAAAGACAAAGAGCAAAGAGAAAAUGUUGCAAGAAAAAAAAAAAUAAACCUAACAAAAUCAUGUACUAAAAAAUAUUUUAUGGACAAACCAAACAAAAAAGCAAAAAUUACUGCCGUACAAGAACCGAAAAAGUGUUAAGUAAGCUACACACGCACACAAAAUUAUAAGAGUUAAGCAAACAACCAGAAAGAAACAACAAUUUGGUUAAGGAUAGCCAAAAAAAAUUGGUGCAGCAGGACGAAAAGGACAACAAGGAAACAUCGCGGGACAGGACACUCAAAGGUUACAUGUGUACACCCACUGACACAGACACACUCACAUACAUCUAGGUGAACGGACGACAGACACACACACACAUGGACACACAGACACAGAUACGGAUACACCUAAGAUAUAUGAUAUAUGUAUAAGAUAUUGUUCCUAUGAGACAUUAGAUAUGUAUUUAAAAUGGCAACACACUCACGUACAGAGACACACACACACACACACACACACCGACACUGAAGCACUUAAUUGACAAAUGCAAAAACAAGGGAAUGAAACCAUUUAUUCGUAGGAAAGGACGAAAACAGGAUAGGCACUUAAGGACAGUGGGUUGAGUGGGUACAAGUUAUGGUCUGAUGACCCUUUGUUGUUUUGUUGUCUGCAUUUUUGAGCUCUAAUAUUUCCGCUUUCGGUUUUCAUUUCGGGAUCACGUGGACCAACACUAUUUUGUUUGAUUUCCUUCAUUCCAGUUUGCAAACAAAAUAUGAUCCCAGUGAAGAAACCCUUGCGAAAUCCCAUUUGAGUACAUAACUCACUUUCAUUUUACUUGUCUUGUAAUUUAACUUGUUCGUCUUUUGGAACGCUUUUGGAGAGAUAUUUGCAAGAUAGCUGAUUGUAAAUGGUAACAAACUGACACAUAAUUAUGGAUAUUAACAAAGGUCUAUAUAUACAUACAUAUACUCAUAGUGAAUUGAAUUAAUUUUUAAAAGACGCAUUCACGAACACGGAAAGGGGAGGGAGGCAUGUUCGGUGAACAUCAUGUUUUUAGAAAAUUUAUUGUUGAAAUAUUGUAGCGAAUUGAGUAAGCAUUAAGGGCGAAUGAAACCGAGUUAUAGUCACCAAUUAAUUAGUCAAAGUAAUAAUAAAUGGAAAUUGAAAACCAGAGAUCCCAAAAACCGAAAAACCGAACUAGCAAUACAAGAUCAACAGGUGUAUAUAUAUUUUAUGACACAUAUAUCACCGCAUAUAUACAUACACAUAUAUAUAUGGAUAUAUUUUUAAUAAAACAAUACGGAAUCGAGCAAAACUAAAGACACUAAGCAGAAGAAGCUAAGCAGCGCAAGAACAGAAACCCACUAUCAAAUAAUAAAACCAAAAAACCAACCAACCGAUCCCAAACAAUGCCACUCGAAAUCACAAGAAUAAAUCACAAUUUUGUUGGAAAUUUCGCAUAGUUUUCGGAUGAGUUCACCCUGUCUAUAUCUAUGUACUUACGUAUAUCCCUGUGUAUUCCUAGAAACGAGCUUCGAAUUUUGUCUACUUUACUCUGCUCUCCCCCGAAAAAUAAAAACAUAAAGCAAAACAGUGAUAUUUAUGGUAUAGCCCCCAAAAAAGACGAACUCAAACACUCUUUCCGGAACCCACCUAAGAAACCAAAAACCAAAAUCAAUGAAAAACCUACCUCCUUGUCGAAUGAGAAUGAUAAUGAUCGAAGGACGAUGAAGCAUAGAAACACUGCCGAGUUAAUCGCACUCCUCUGACCCCUUGCAAAAAAAGUGAACCCAUUUUCUUAUUUAUUUUAGUCCUGCCAAAGAGAAUUUCUAACAGAAUUGUGUGACGAGCAACCACUUUUGAUAGCCAGACGUAAAGUUUACUUAACGGAUAAACCAGAUCGGCCCUAUACUCGUACAUAGCUAAUAUGCCCGAUGUCAAAAUUUCAGAAUGUCAGAUUGUCAGAGGGAAACCAAUCGAGUGCUGAAUGCUGAAUCCACUGAAGGAACUGCAGAUCAGAUCUAAGCGUUUAAGGUGUAUACACUCACUUUGUAUGGUUUAUUUGCAUUUAGGUACAUUUAAAUUUAGAUUUGAUAUGAGACGACUUUUACUUGCGCCCAGAGCGAUGGGUAAUCCUACCGAAAACUGCUCUGUCCCCAUGAGGUUGUUGUUUUUCGAGGUGCGAAUUCCAAUUGAAAUUGAGAUCUUGAGUUGAAGUAUGAGAAUCGGAAUCAGAAUUAGAUGUGAAGAGGUAGAGUUGCGGAAGGUGUGUGCAUUUUAAAUUUAAUUUUUUUUUAUAAUUAAUUUAGUGCUAAUCUUUGAGCAGCUAGGCGCAUAAUUAGAACUACGUACGUAUAUGUGUAUGGAUGUCUUUUUGAUAAAAAGAAGCUGUUUUAAGAAGCAAACCAUUUUCUACACUCUUUAAAAGAUUGAACUCUACAUGUACGAGAUUAUGUAUAAUACAAGUAAUAAUAAUUUAGCGUUAACUAGGCAAUUAUAAAAUGCGGUGACCUGCAAAAGGAGCCAUAAACUAAGCGUCCUACAUUAGGAGAGGUCGACCUUCGACCUAAGCGAUUACCAGAAAUAAAGUUAAAAAGUUGGUGCAGUUGCGAGGGAAGGCAAAAACUAAAAAAAACGAUAAACGAAUUUAAAAUUGAUAAUGAACAUGAAAUUACCACGAAACCAAACUUGUAGUGAAGCCAAGUGCUUUUUCAUUUGAAAACUCUACUACUCACUUACGACUUACCUACUUUGCAAGUAUUAACUAAUUUCCUCUGAUCAGAGUUACACGCAAUCGCGAAAUGCAAAAAGCUAAUUACAAAACGGUUGGUACACGCCCAAAACACACACACAGUCAGACAAUGGAAAAUGACAAAUGAAAAAUGAAAGCAUUCGAAUUGUUCGUAUUACAAACAAAAAACAAAAAAAUAAAGAAACCAGCAAACCGAAGAGUUCGAAUUUCGUUUCAAUUGCACUCCGCAUGUUCUCCAAUACCCCAGGGCAAUUAAACAGAGUUCAACAAUAAAUAGAGCAUUAAAAAACCGAUUCGAGACACUUUUUUAAACAAGGCAAAUAUAUUUAAAAUUAGCAUUUAACUAAAUGACAAGAAAAACGUAGUCUAUAAACUGCGAAUGUUUAGCACUAAACUGACCCGAGCAGAAUUCUGCCAGCCAACCCGAAUCCAAAUCCAAGCCUCCACCUGUGUCCCAAGUCUAACUACCACAUCAAUUUAAAUAGCUAAUUGCAUAAUUAUUAAACCGUUACUGAAUUUCUGUCGAUUGCCAAUCGCGAAAAAGAAAAACAUAAAAUCUUCCCAAAAAUUAUGCAUGUAAAAAAGGAAAUGGCUAAGAAAAAAAACCAAAAAAUUAGCAAGAAGUCUGUUGUCGAUAAGAAUUAUUGGCAGACAAAUAACUUUCGUCACAUUGACGAUAAUAACUAAUUUUAAGCGAAAAACAAAGGAAUUAAUUGAUUUAAAUAAUAAACAAAUUA